AGUGAACGCUGGCGGUAGGCCUAACACAUGCAAGUCGAACGGCAGCACAGUAAGAGCUUGCUCUUACGGGUGGCGAGUGGCGGACGGGUGAGGAAUAAAUCGGAAUCUACUUUUUCGUGGGGGAUAACGUAGGGAAACUUACGCUAAUACCGCAUACGACCUACGGGUGAAAGCAGGGGAUCUUCGGACCUUGCGCGAUUGAAUGAGCCGAUGUCGGAUUAGCUAGUUGGCGGGGUAAAGGCCCACCAAGGCGACGAUCCGUAGCUGGUCUGAGAGGAUGAUCAGCAACACUGGAACUGAGACACGGUCCAGACUCCUACGGGAGGCAGCAGUGGGGAAUAUUGGACAAUGGGCGCAAGCCUGAUCCAGCCAUACCGCGUGGGUGAAGAAGGCCUUCGGGUUGUAAAGCCCUUUUGUUGGGAAAGAAAAGCAGCAGGUUAAUACCCCGCUGUUCUGACGGUACCCAAAGAAUAAGCACCGGCUAACUUCGUG
rnacentral:rRNA from 1 species